GACGAACGCUGGCGGCGUGCUUAACACAUGCAAGUCGAACGAAAAGCGAUGGACGCUUGCUUCUAUCCAUCUUAGGGGCGGACGGGUGAGAAACGCGUAAUCAACCUUCCCUUCAGAGGGGGACAACAGUAGGAAACGACAGCUAAUACCGCAAACGAUCCGACCUCGGCAUCGAGGAGGGAUGAAAGGGGGCCGCGAUUGAUAAGCGCUCACUGGAGGAGGGGAGUGCGUCUGCUCAGCUAGUUGGAGGGGCAACGGCCCACCAAGGCAAGGAUCAGGAGCCGGUCUGAGAGGAUGGACGGCCACCUUGGGACUGAGACACGCCCCAGACGCCUACGGGGGGCAGCAGGGGGGAAUCUUCCGCCAUGGACGAAAGUCUGACGGCGCUACGCCGCGUGAGUGAUGACGGCCUUCGGGUUGUAAAGCUCUGUUAAUCGGGACGAAAGGUCUUCUUGCGAAUAGUUAGCAGAAUUGACGGUACCGGAAUAGAAAGCCCCGGCUAACUACGUG
rnacentral:rRNA from 1 species